rnacentral:rRNA from 1 species
AUGGAGACCGGCUGUCUUGAGGCAGUUAACCUCUGGAACUCUCGCUACAUCAACCGGUCGGUGAUAGCACCUAUUCUUUCUGAAAUUGGAGAGCUAGCUCUUAGUUUUAUUUCUUUCAGUAUUCAACAUAUAAUAAUAUCAGCAAACGGUCCUGCACAUCUUUGUGCUAAGCGUGGGUCUACGCUUAAUGUGAUCAAGAGCUGGUUAGACUCUACUCCUAGCUUCUGA